rnacentral:rRNA from 1 species
GACGAACGCUGGCGGCGUGCCUAAUACAUGCAAGUCGAACGCACAGUUUAUACCGUAGCUUGCUACACCAUAGACUGUGAGUUGCGAACGGGUGAGUAACGCGUAGGUAACCUGCCUGGUAGCGGGGGAUAACUAUUGGAAACGAUAGCUAAUACCGCAUAAUAUUGAUUAUUGCAUGAUAAUUGAUUGAAAGAUGCUAUUGCAUCACUACCAGAUGGACCUGCGUUGUAUUAGCUAGUAGGUGAGGUAACGGCUCACCUAGGCGACGAUACAUAGCCGACCUGAGAGGGUGAUCGGCCACACUGGGACUGAGACACGGCCCAGACUCCUACGGGAGGCAGCAGUAGGGAAUCUUCGGCAAUGGACGAAAGUCUGACCGAGCAACGCCGCGUGAGUGAAGAAGGUUGUUGGAUCGUAAAGCUCUGUUGUAAGAGAAGAACGGGUGUGAGAGUGGAAAGUUCACACUGUGACGGUAUCUUACCAGAAAGGGACGGCUAACUACGUG